AGUUCUUCAAGAAAUAUUUGAUGGAUUAUCCAGAGGCAAGAAACUCGAUGAGAUUGAGAUAUUGGUUAAAGAUUUCUAUAAGUCAAAUAUGAUCCAACUACAAACUUCUGACGAAAUUAACAAGGACAUUAUCUCGCACUUCGUACUUCGUCUAGUUUAUUAUCGAACGGAGGAAUUGAGAAAAUGGUUCCUUUCAAUGGAGACUACACUCUUUCGUUACCGAUUACAUCUUGAAAAAGUUGAAGCUUAGAGAGCACUGAUGGUAGAAUUUGAUCUUCCCUACAAAGUGGUUUCAAAUACUGAACUGGAGAAUUUGAAGGAAAAGCUGAACCAAGUUGCAAGGUCCAUGGGUCAAUCUCUAUCUACUGGUUUAUCAAUAUGUUUCAGUAACUGAUUUAAGUAGAGAAGUGGUUGGAAGAUGAAAGAGGAGUCAUAUCUCUAUAGGAGUAUGGAUGAUUAUUUUGUUUUGUAUUGAAGCAGUUGAUGAAUGAUUUUUUAUUUUUUUAAUUUAUUUUAUAUU